CCUCCAUGCUUCCAAGAAAAGCAUCUAGAGAGAGAAGUAGUGCCCGUACCGCAAACCGACACAGGUAGAUGAGGAGAGAAUCCUAAGGCCGGCGGAAGAAUUGCAGUUAAGGAACUAGGCAAAUUGACCCCGUAAGUUCGCGAGAAGGGGUGCCUGCGAGAGCAGGCCGCAGAGAAUAGGCCCAAGCAACUGUUUAGCAAAAACACAGGUCUCUGCUAAAGCGCAAGCUGAUGUAUAGGGGCUGACGCCUGCCCGGUGCUGGAAGGCUAAGGGGAACACUUAGCGCAAGCGAAGGUGUGAACUUAAGCCCCAGUAAACGGCGGCCGUAACUAUAACGGUCCUAAGGUAGCGAAAUUCCUUGUCAGGUAAGUUCUGACCCGCACGAAAGGCGUAAUGACUUGGGCACUGUCUCAACUGCAAAUCCGGCGAAGUUGUAGUGCGAGUGAAGAUGCUCGCUACCCGCGAUUGGACGGAAAGACCCCGUAGAGCUUUACUGCAGCUUAGCAUUGAAUCUCGGUAUUGUCUGUACAGGAUAGGUGGGAGACUGGGAAACUAGGGCGUCAGCCUUAGUGGAGUCACCCUUGGGAUACCACCCUGACAGUACUGGGGUUCUAACAGGAUGCCAUGAAUCUGGUGACUGGACAUUGUUAGGUGGGCAGUUUGACUGGGGCGGUCGCCUCCUAAAAAGUAACGGAGGCGCCCAAAGGUUCCCUCAGAACGGUCGGAAAUCGUUCGAAGGUGCAAAGGCAGAAGGGAGCCUGACUGCGAGACUUACAAGUCGAGCAGGGACGAAAGUCGGGCUUAGUGAUCCGGUGGUACCUCGUGGGAGGGCCAUCGCUCAACGGAUAAAAGCUACCUCGGGGAUAACAGGCUGAUCCCCCCCAAGAGUCCACAUCGACGGGGAGGUUUGGCACCUCGAUGUCGGCUCGUCGCAUCCUGGGGCUGUAGUAGGUCCCAAGGGUUGGGCUGUUCGCCCAUUAAAGCGGCACGCGAGCUGGGUUCAGAACGUCGUGAGACAGUUCGGUCCCUAUCCGCCGCGGGCGUAGGAAAUUUGAGAGGAGCUGUCCUUAGUACGAGAGGACCGGGAUGGACUGACCUCUGGUGUACCAGUUGUUCUGCCAAGAGCAUAGCUGGGUAGCUAAGUCGGGAAGGGAUAAACGCUGAAAGCAUCUAAGCGUGAAGCCCACCUCAAGAUGAGAUUUCCCAUAGCAUAAGCUAGUAAGACCCCUUGAAGAACACAAGGUUGAUAGGUCAGAGGUGUAAGUGCGGUAACGUAUUUAGCUGACUGAUACUAAUAGGUCGAGGGCUUGACC
rnacentral:rRNA from 1 species